rnacentral:rRNA from 1 species
UACGUAGGGGGCAAGCGUUGUCCGGAUUUAUUGGGCGUAAAGAGCGUGUAGGCGGUUUGGUAGGUCCGCUGUGAAAACUCGAGGCUCAACCUCGAGACGCCGGUGGAAACCAUCAGACUAGAGUCCGGAAGAGGAGAGUGGAAUUCCUGGUGUAGCGGCGAAAUGCGCAGAUAUCAGGAAGAACACCCGUGGCUAAGGCGGCUCUCUAGUACGGUACUGACGCUGAGACGCGAAAGCGUGGGGAGCGAACAGG